AGGAGAUUAUCCAUAACUAGAAAGGUCAACGUUUGAAGACACUUUUAUAGAACUUUCACAUCUUCAUUUAAUUUCUAUCUUCAGUUUAUAUAAAAAGGGUUCGUCUCAUCUACAUAAAUAUAAACGUCUAAUUAUAGACUCUUGAAAACCUCAAAUCAUCCAAAAGUUACUCUUUACCACGUAAUAAAGCCUAUACAGCGACGACGACCGACGAUUUUCUAGACUUCGAUGACGUAAAAAUAACCUAUUUAAAGAAUCUGUAGAAUCUGUAACGUAGUUUAAUAUGGAUCUAUCCACGUGGCUUAACCCGGAGGCUGUAUGUUGUGUGUUGAAAAUAUAAUUUAAUGUUGAUGAUGAUGAUGAUGAUGCAUUCUAUACAAAAAAAAAAUCUAUAUCGAUUGGAUGAAGGGAUAUAUGGGAUAAUACUUAAUGACGAACGGGCUAUUCUCUAUUUUCACAAUGACACACAAAGAAUAAUGUUCUCAUAGAUUAAUCAAGAAAACUAUGGACAAAAAAAAAAAAAAAAAGGUUAACACACUGGAAAAUUAAUUUUUGGACUGUCAAUCAGUGCAGAUGGGGUUCUUUUUAAAAGUUUAUUAAUUGAUUUUUAAAAACCAAAACUGGAGUCUAUGAUUUUCCGAUUUACACAACCUUUUUCGUUCGAGGGAAAGGUUUUUAAUGGAGAGUUAUUUGAAAAACAACAAAAUAUCAAGCCUGUUAACUUGACGAAUUGCGAAAAUGGCGCCCAACGUAGGUUUUUUUAAACGAAUCUUCUAUGAAAUAUCGAUCACUGAAAUAUCAAGAGAAUGACGAAAAAUUUUUUGUUUAACAGUCAACACACUUAUUCGUUUGUUCAUGUGGCGUAAUGAAAUUUUUCAUAUUACUCGUAUUUGUAUGAAAAUU